rnacentral:misc_RNA from 1 species
UGGUUCUCGCAUCGAUGAAGAACGCAGCGAAACGCGAUAGGUAAUGUGAAUUGCAGAAUUCCGUGAAUCAUCGAAUCUUUGAACGCACAUUGCGCUCCCUGGUAUUCCUAGGAGCAUGUCUGUCUGAGCGUCAGUACACACCCUCCGUCGACCCUUUCGGGUGGAUCGGGUAUUGAGUUUCGCGGUCGAAAGAGCGCGUCCUCUAAAGUGGAAAGCCAGCGGCCCGCCUGCCCUUGAAAGACGUAGUAAUGCGAAUUAUCCGUCCGAGACUGGGCUCAGCGCGCUCGCCAAAAUCGAACUUCUCAAGGUUUGACCUCAGAUCAGACAAGAGUACCCGCUGA